UGCCAGCCGCCGCGGUAAUACGGAGGGUGCAAGCGUUGUCCGGAUUUAUUGGGUUUAAAGGGUACGUAGGCGGUUUAUUAAGUCAGUGGUGAAAGUUCACAGCUUAACUGUGAAAGUGCCAUUGAUACUGGUAAACUUGAGUAUUGUAGAGGCAGGCGGAAUUCCUCAUGUAGCGGUGAAAUGCAUAGAUAUGAGGAGGAACACCAAAAGCGAAGGCAGCUUGCUGGGCAAUAACUGACGCUGAGGUACGAAAGCGUGGGGAGCGAACAGGAUUAGAUA
rnacentral:rRNA from 1 species